GUAGAUAUAGUUUAAACAAAACACUAGAUUGUGAAUCUAGAAAUAGAGACUAACAACCCCUUAUCUACC
rnacentral:tRNA from 1 species